rnacentral:rRNA from 1 species
UACGGGGGGGGCAAGCGUUGUUCGGAAUUACUGGGCGUAAAGGGCGCGUAGGCGGCCUUCUAAGUCAGACGUGAAAUCCCCCGGCUUAACCUGGGAACUGCGUCUGAUACUGGAGGGCUUGAGUGCGGGAGAGGGAUGUGGAAUUCCAGGUGUAGCGGUGAAAUGCGUAGAUAUCAGGAGGUACACCAAUGGCGACGGCAGCUCGCUGGGACGUGACUGACGCUGAGACGCGAAAGCGUGGGGAGCAAACAGG